UGGGCCGCGUGAAGACAUUAAACAUAUAAUGGAAACGUGUAUGACUGCAACAAGCAUGAUGAGUGGAAAGAAACAAUCUCGUUCAUCGAAAUGGACUACAUGUUUGUGUGCUAUACAAAAAGGAAGCACCGAAUGUGGUUAUUAU